GAUGAACGCUGGCGGCGUGCCUAAUACAUGCAAGUCGAGCGAACGGACGAGAAGCUUGCUUCUCUGAUGUUAGCGGCGGACGGGUGAGUAACACGUGGAUAACCUACCUAUAAGACUGGGAUAACUUCGGGAAACCGGAGCUAAUACCGGAUAAUAUUUUGAACCGCAUGGUUCAAAAGUGAAAGACGGUCUUGCUGUCACUUAUAGAUGGAUCCGCGCUGCAUUAGCUAGUUGGUAAGGUAACGGCUUACCAAGGCAACGAUGCAUAGCCGACCUGAGAGGGUGAUCGGCCACACUGGAACUGAGGCACGGUCCAGACUCCUACGGGAGGCAGCAGUAGGGAAUCUUCCGCAAUGGGCGAAAGCCUGACGGAGCAACGCCGCGUGAGUGAUGAAGGUCUUCGGAUCGUAAAACUCUGUUAUUAGGGAAGAACAUAUGUGUAAGUAACUGUGCACAUCUUGACGGUACCUAAUCAGAAGGCCACGGCUAACUACGUG
rnacentral:rRNA from 1 species